GCUGACUCUCUUUUCAGACUCAGCCCACUUGCACCCAAGUGAAUUAACAGCCUUGUUGCUCACACAAAGCCUGUUUAGGUGGUCUUCUAUAUGGACAUGCUUGACACUUGGUGCCAAAAUCUGGGCCAGGGGGACUCCUUCGUGAGACCGGCCCCCUGUCCUGGCCCUCACUCCGUGAAGAGAUCCACCUGCGACCUCGGGUCCUCAGACCAGCCCAAGGAACAUCUCACCAAUUUCAAAUCGGAUCUCCUCGGCUUAGUGGCUGAAGACUGAUGCUGCCCGAUCGCCUCAGAAGCCCCCUGGACCAUCACAGAUGCCGAGCUUCGGGUAACUCUUACGGUGGAGGAUUCCCAGCCAUAUGAAGACACCCUAGCUGGACGAUCAGUCCUUGUCAAAAGUCUGACCCCUCAAACUCUACAGCCUCAAUGGACCAGACCCUACCCGGUCAUUUAUAGCACACCAACUGCCGUCCAUCUGCAGGACCCUCUCCAUUGGGUUCACCAUUCCAGAAUAAAGCCAUGCCCAUCAGACAGCCAGCUUGAUCUCUCCUCUUCCUCCUGGAAGCCACAAGAUUAGGCCGAGAGCCGAUCAGACAAACAACCUACAACCCUUAAGCUCCUGGCAGCGCCCAGCCAAGGCCAUGCUUCCAUGCAACACUCCUUCCAAAUGGCCAUCCCAGCAUGCUUCCAAGCAGGCUUCAUCCGUUCCUCUGGACCCUCAUCUCUUAAGACCUGCCGCCUAUAAAAAGGAUUAUAUCUUGAGACCCUAUCCUCUAAAAUUUUUUCCACACCCAAAACAAAAAAUCUCUGGGUCAAAAGUCUAAAACGCUUAGGCUGGCAACCAUCAGAUCCUUGCCCAUGGUGUCCUCAAGCCUACUCUCAUGAAAUGGACAACAGUACACGCAUAUGGGGCCAGUUCCACAUAUUUGGCAACCAGACCAGCAUCCAGGACAACACAAAACCGCCACUCACACCUAUGGGAAAAGGGUAAUGUAUCAUCGGCUUAGCAACAGGGAAUACUAUUCGUAUGAUGGAAAAUGGGGACAAAAGGCUUUGGUACAUAAAACAUUAUUCCUUCCUUGGCCUAAAAACUCAUCGCCACCUACAUUAAAGCUAAUAUGCC
rnacentral:sRNA from 1 species